rnacentral:rRNA from 1 species
UACAGAGGGGGCAAGCGUUAUUCGGAAUUAUUGGGCGUAAAGGGCGCGUAGGCGGCUUGGCAAGUGGAUGGUGAAAUCCCUCGGCUUAACCGAGGAACUGCCGUCCAAACUGCUUUGCUUGAGACCGGGAGAGGUGAGUGGAAUUCCCAGUGUAGCGGUGAAAUGCGUAGAUAUUGGGAGGAACACCAGUGGCGAAGGCGGCUCACUGGACCGGUACUGACGCUGAGGCGCGAAAGCGUGGGGAGCGAACAGG